GAGGGCACAGCGAGGGGGACGUGAGAGGGGAAUUCACAUGGUAAGUGAUGCUCAGAGCAACACUGCAAGUAACAUCCAAGUAAUAGAUGUGGGGGACUGGAGCAGGAGAGUUUUGCAUUAAAGCACAUUGUUCCUGAAUUUCUUUAGCAAGUGUACUUAAAGAGCAAGACAAGAGCACCGAAAACUUCCUUUCAUACUCAUCUAGUGCCUGCUUUGGAUUUUUCGUUGAACGCGGGGGAAUAUUUUCAUAAGAAAAUGUUUUAUUUCUGUAAUGUCUGCUCUUUUGAUUUAGUACAUAAAAAGAGUGCCAUCUUAAUAACAGCUAUAACAGAUAAAAACUGGAUUAUGAAAGAGAGGGUGUCCCCACUUACUAAAUUAACAAAUUCACGUGGAAAGAAUUUGUAGAAGACUACAAUACAAACACUGUGUCUUACACCAGAAUCACAGCAGUAAUUUGUCCCUUGCUGGAAUACACCCAUUUUUCCUCCUCCCAUUCUGCCUUUGGAGAAGAGAGAACUGGGACUGAAUUUGUCUUGAUUCUAAAGCAGCUGUAGAAAUAUAUCAAAUAAAUCAAAUCCUCAAACAGUUCUUGUUGUUUUAGAGUACUGCUGUUAACAGUUUAACACGUUUUAGGGAAUUGUGCUGAAGGGCAUCAUUACCUGCUCCCAGUCUUUCUGGUCAAGAAAGAGGAUUAUUUGGAAAUAUGAGUACUAUCAAGUAUGUUUUCGUGGUUGUGGUAAAAUUCCUGACUAUCGUUCUACAAGAGCAGAACAUUUCUUUGCAUAGCUUUAUUUAUAUAAAAGAUACCAUGCCUAAGCUAUCUCAGCAUCACUGCUGUACAUGUCUCAUACAUAGCCAAGCCCAGGGGCACAGUUUCAAAGUCAGGUUUUCAUACUGGGUUGGAUAUUUGGCCCAUGUAGUUUAAGAAAACAGAAAAUCUGGUGAUAUGCAUUUAAUAGCAAUAUAAAAAUAAAAACCAAUAAAAAUAAUGAGAAUUAUAUUUCUAUUGGGAGAACAUUAAAGUCAUAAUGGUGCAAAUGGGCUUUGGAUAAUUGAUAAUACUGAUGCAGAAAAUUAUUUUCAGUUCCCUCUCCUUUGCAGUAAAAUACAGCUGCACUUAAAGAGGGGGGAAAAGUUUUUUUCUUCUGGUGUUGAAGCAUAAGAGGGCUUUAACCAGCAUCACUAAGGAAACCUCAAAACCACACUAAAAAUGAACAUGUGAGUUUGCUGUGCUGGCAUGCAGAGUAGCCGUGCGACUGGUUCUACCUUGGGAGUGACAGCAUGGUGAAAGGAUGUCGCCUCUUGGCUCCAACCUUGCUGAUCGCUGCAAACCCAAGUGGAGGAUAAUCAUUCUCAAUCUGUGGCUUUACUGAAGCAGUGUCUUGCUGCUGCUGCAGUUCUGCUGCAGCUGUGAAGCAGGCGGCAGCUCCCUUGGCUGAUUUGCAUCGAGUCAUUCUGCAGUUAUCUACCUUCGGCGACACAUGGCCCAGAGCCCUGGGGAAGAAGCGAGCAAGGCUGUCCCAUUUCUCUCCUGCCACCGCUGUAGAUUUCCCUCUGGAAGCAAAUUCUGAUUCCUCUUGGGAGAACCAGCUCUUCACUUAUCCUUCUUAUCUGCAAAGACUAUUAGCAAUUAAAUAGGCAAUGCUAACAUGUAGAGAGUGAUAAUUGACCCUAAAUAGAUGAAAGAAUCUAUGGCAAGGGUGAAAAAUUCAAUUUUUCUCAGGUGUCAGUGCAAAAAUUUGUGUUGCAGGCACAGAAGCACAACCACAACCAUCUAUAGCAAGGUGAUGUAUAGAGAUUUCUCUGCCACAUGGGUGACUAUUUUGACUUUUUAAAACAAAAAUUUGAUUUCUUAAGAUGUGAGUAUAUUGGAUCUGCCUAAUUUGGUCCAGUGGCAUAAUGCUUCGGGUUGCUACGAUGCAUAAAUCAGGGUGUAUUUAAAUUGCAUCUGUUUUACAUUAUCCAUGUAAAUAAUUAUUUCAGAGCUCAGGAGUGGCCACCAUGAAAGGAGCAAUUGGCCUGUUUACUCUGAUGCAUUAAGCUUUUAAUGAGUGAUGCAUGAUUCUUCAGUUUGUAAUAGAUCCCAAAGUCUGAGGUGCUGUGGUAGCAUUCUUGAAGAGCACAUGCAGUGGUGUUCACUAUUCCUCUGUUCACAAGCUCUGUGAUUCUCAUAUUUUUCUCUUUUUUGCUCAGAGAAACUCAUAAGUUUAGCGCCUGUUAAUUUGCUUGGCCAGCAGAGAGCAUUCAUUGUGCAGUAGUUGCAGGAGAUCUGUGCCCAUGGGAGCUGCUGCCUUCUCUGUCCCAGUUACACAGUACCUAUCAAGUAACAUGGGAGUACCCAGGUGAAUUGGCAUGAGAUGUAUGAGGAGGUCAGCUCGGUAGAGUUGUUGCCCUAAACUCUGUGAAACUCUGUUGCAGAACCAUCUGUUGAACCUCCCCGCUCCCCUUCUCUGCCAGAGGCUUUUCUUCUUUACCUUGGAGAGCCAAAUCUUACUCGCCUUGAAUUCAGGAGACUUCCAGGAGAAGCCGAGUGAAUCAAUACGCAAUGUAGUAUGUACUUAAUAUAUGUAAGCUGCGCUGCAUUUUUAAUCAGCUAUAUAUUUAUUGUAGUGAAGAGUAACAAAUUACAGUACCACUAGCACACAAAAGCUUAUGGCAUUCCAUUAUUCUUAAUUAAUAGGUAAGUGCAAGCCUUUUUUAUUUAUACUGGAGAAGAUCUUCUUACUAAUUUGGUUGCAAAUGUAUCUGUAAAAAGGAAAAAAUUGUAUAUCUAUUUAUUUUCCUAGUUUAAUAAUAGAGCACUUGUUCUUUCCUUUUAGUUUUCUGAUGGUUACUUGGUUUGCAAUCAAAUAUUAGCAUGCUGUUUUUGCAUACAUUUCAAAGACGUCCAUUCUUUAAUAAGGAAAACAAAUGUAUUUGUAACAAGCAAGCAAAAGAAAAACUAAUGAAAAGCAUCUGGAAUUUAAGAUGAACACUAGAAAAAAGUGUGUAAGCACAAGUUCCCUGCAUUCCUUUGCCUGUUUCGCAAAUUUAUCAUAGGACUGAUCACACGUAGGUCAUUAUGAGAGAAGCUUAAAGGCAGAUAAUAUACAUUGUUUAUCCAUCCGAUGGUCUUCCUUUCCUUCAUGCAGGAAUUCAGAUAGGCAUAGGUCUCUACAAAACCUAGAAGUCUUCAUUUGGAGCUCCACCGUGAACUCUGGAGAAGUGAAACCAUCUGUGUCAACAUAGCACUGAAGAAAUGAAAUGGAAACCUCCUUGGCAGAAAACACAGAUGGUACGCACCGGGCCAAAAGUCAGACCUGAAGCAUCUUAUUUCAAUGAAGAAGCUGCUAUAAUAUCCUGAUGUGAAUGAAGUGACUGUUUUCAGCUUCCUGAAUCUGACCAUCGUUUUCUCUUUUCUCUGUACUUCUCAGUGCUGUUGGAAGUACACAGGUAUGUCCAUUCAUUGGUGUUUGUGAUGAAACAGAACCAAUUACGAAACCUAACUGAAAUUCCUAAAGGCUGUCCAUUGCUUCCUACUCUCCCUGUGAUGUCCCAGUUGUUCUGAUGUUUUUCAUUGCUUUGCUAAUGUAUUUCCUCUGAAGGUACAGAGGAGGGUGACUAAAGUUACUCAUGUGUGAACGUUUGGGCUGGAAUUUGUGCUUCAUACAUACCUUGGUAACAGUAUGUUAAUACCAAGGACCAUCGCUUGGAUCUAGAUAUUAAAAUUCUGAUAGUGUCCAUCUCUGAAAUGUUUAAAUAUUUAUGCACGAAGCUAUGAUCAUCUGUAGGAUGCUGUCUCUGAAGGCCCGUGUUGUGGUGGCCAGCUGAAAUUACUCAUUUCUUUCUAAGGAAAAAAUGCAGAAACCUGACAUGGGUUCUUGGGAGCUUUCCAAUGCUAGAGGAGGAAAAGGAGGUCCCUGCUAACUCCUAAUGGUGAGCCAUGAGGAGAGAGAUGCUGUGGUUGCAGUCUGUCCAUAUGGGACUUAUAACCACUGCCAUAUUCUGGACACAGAGUUAGCCUUGGCAUCAAGGCUGGAUGUAACAUCACAGAGAGUAGUGCUGUGGUUAGAGAUAGCGUUUUGAUGGAGGCAGGCGGGACAGAGGGAACUUCAUCUGAAGGAGAGCUGAAUUUGCUACAGCACAACCCAGGGCAUGGGACUCUGCCAAGAUGCUGAUAGUGGUCUAUGGGUGCACCAAACAGAAGGAAUCAGAGUAAAGCUCAUAUUUCAGGCUCUCUUACUGUGCUGUUUUAUUUUGUACAGAAGCCCGCUCCUUGAGUGAGGGUAUGCUCUGCAGAGAUGCUCAGAGAAGGUCAUUUGUUUAUUUGUGGGGUAGUUACUAAUUUCAACAGGAAUCCUUAGACAUUGCAGUCUGUCCUCCUCUGCCAGGAGCUGGUGGCUAUAGGAUUGCUACCUCAGCAGGGCAGGGCAGAGCUGUUUGGUGAGAACAGGCCUGCUAAGCCAUGUUUGUCUGUGCAGCGAUGGCUGAGCUUUGCUUACUCUAACAUCACAUACAGCAAAUGAAAUAUGUAGUGCUUCCCCAUGGAGUUUCCGUGACUUACUGUUUAGUGUAAACUUAAAAAAAGAAAAAAGAAAAAACGCUGCAAAAACUGAUCAAGAACUGAUAAUUGAAAAGAUGACAUGACCUAAUUUGAAAAGGGUUAUAUCUUCACAUGCCCCACACUUGUGUAGUUCAAAAUAGUACACAUCUUGUCCCUUUAACUUCAGGUGUAUGUGUCUUGUCUGGUUCUUGGAAGUGACUGUGUACAGGCAGAGCAUAAUUGGCAGCCUGUGACAUCCCUGUCUGCAAGUGUCUCUCUAAAUGGAGCGUAUUUCAGCCUUUAUCUAGUGAUGGCUGUUACCUGAGAGAAGCCCAGGGCCAUCUCAAAGGGCUUGUAGCGGCUAAUUGUGCCUGUUAGGACUAGCAAUUAGCUGGGGAUCUCUCCACUAGGCAGCUCCGACACCCACUAGCUUUCAGCUCUUUUCACUUCCUUUCAGUUAACUAGCUGUGCCGAGCAGAAGAGACAAGGGACAGGUAGGCGAGUGUGCCGUCACGCUCAGGAAGGACGAGAAGGGAUGUGUGCAAGACCGCUGGGGAAAAAAUAGACACCGGGUUAUAAUAAUACACAAAAACAUGACCUGAUUAUUACAGAAACAAAGCAGCAGGUGACCUAUCCCUCAUCUGUAGGUAUUGGAGGCUACAGCUGGACUGUUUGCACAGGCUAUACUUCAGCUUUAAGAAAACAAUAAAAUCUAAUUACGUAUAGGUCAUAAAAAAGAUCCUGUACAUAUGGUGGUUGCUGGUUACCAUGGUGCAAACAGUGGUUUCAAUGGAAACAUGAAGCAGAACAUCGAAGAAUUAAGAUAAUAAAUCAGUUUCAUUGAAUAAUAAAGCUUUGCACUUACCCAUUAAUUAAGGAUAAUCGUAUGCCAUAAGCUUUUGUGUGCUAUAAGUAAUGUGUUACUCUUUACCAUAAAUAUAUAGAUGAUUAAAAAUUCAAUACACCUUACAGGUAGCAAAUUCAUACCAUCCUUCGUAUAUAUUGCCAAAGAAAGAUGUAAGUGUUCUUUUUAUACUUAUUAUUUUUUGGAUUGGGAUAGAACGUUUCAAUUAUCCGGCAGAAUUUGAGUUUGUGAUAACACUUGGAAGACUUGAGAAAAUCUCCUUCUUGAAACCUUUGUGAAAAUCUUUAAACAUUGAUGACACAAUUCAAAGAUAGCUAAAAAUGUUCAGAGAAAAGACUGGGCUGGGCUGCCACAUCUGGUUUCCAAUAGUGGAUUGAGACAUACCACAUAAUGCAGCCCACUGUAACACAAUACACACUGAUCUUGUAUUGACCCUUCCACUUGAUACAUCUUUUGGUGCUUUGUAAUCCCUAACAAAUGUACCUUAAAAUCCUAUUGAACUGUGGAGGCAAUUGAGAACAAAUGUCUUCAGGCCAGAAAUAGCAUCUGCUUCUCAGACCAGACCGGAGACCACUCCAGGUACACAGGGUGCAGGCUGAAGAUUGGGACA